AACGAACGCUGGCGGCAGGCUUAACACAUGCAAGUCGAGCGCCCCGCAAGGGGAGCGGCAGACGGGUGAGUAACGCGUGGGAAUCUACCGAGCCCUGCGGAAUAGCUCCGGGAAACUGGAAUUAAUACCGCAUACGCCCUACGGGGGAAAGAUUUAUCGGGGUUUGAUGAGCCCGCGUUGGAUUAGCUAGUUGGUGGGGUAAAGGCCUACCAAGGCGACGAUCCAUAGCUGGUCUGAGAGGAUGAUCAGCCACAUUGGGACUGAGACACGGCCCAAACUCCUACGGGAGGCAGCAGUGGGGAAUAUUGGACAAUGGGCGCAAGCCUGAUCCAGCCAUGCCGCGUGAGUGAUGAAGGCCCUAGGGUUGUAAAGCUCU
rnacentral:rRNA from 1 species